rnacentral:rRNA from 1 species
UGGGGAAUAUUGGACAAUGGGCGAAAGCCUGAUCCAGCCAUGCCGCGUGUGUGAAGAAGGUCUUCGGAUUGUAAAGCACUUUAAGUUGGGAGGAAGGGCAGUAAGCGAAUACCUUGCUGUUUUGACGUUACCGACAGAAUAAGCACCGGCUAACUCUGUGCCAGCAGCCGCGGUAAUACAGAGGGUGCGAGCGUUAAUCGGAUUUACUGGGCGUCAAGCGUGCGUAGGCGGCUAAUUGAGUCGGAUGUGAAAUCCCCGAGCUUAACUUGGGAAUUGCAUUCGAUACUGGUUAGCUAGAGUGUGGGAGAGGAUGGUAGAAUUCCAGGUGUAGCGGUGAAAUGCGUAGAGAUCUGGAGGAAUACCGAUGGCGAAGGCAGCCAUCUGGCCUAACACUGACGCUGAGGUACGAAAGCAUGGGGAGCAAACAGG